AGACUCGCUGGCUCCGCCGGCGUCCCAUCCGCGCCGCCAGUGGGAGGGUGUAGCUGGGUGGGAGGAGAUGGAAAAGUAAGUGGAGCCCCCUGAAGGGAAGGAAAGGGAUCUGGAGCCCCAUUUACUUUAUUUCCUUCAUGAAUGUCCAGAGGACAUCCUUGAAAUGAAGACUGCCACUGGAUAUAUUGAGCUGCACACCCAAAUGCCAGGAUUCUUUGUUGGGAUUCCCACCAGUUAAAGAGCAAUAAGACAUGCCAUUGCCUACAGAAAGCCAUCUACACAGGCCUAAAUCACAGGGAGGUGAUGUUCCAAAUUUUCCUUACUACUUCACUGAUUUUUAGUUUCUUAUCAUUUCCUUUACCACAUAGAACUACUCAAAGUAGCUAUUGAUGGUUAGUGUGAUCACAGAUCUUAGUAAUGAAUCACAUUUGGAAUA